CAUAGAACAUGUGAAAAUGUGUAAACUUCCCCUUUAACUGACGGUAUAACAACAGAAUUUCCUCUUGGGGAUCAUUCAAAUAUAAAAUGCAAACAUUUUACAGUUUUGUUAUCGCCAUUAAACUCUAACUCACAUAGUAAUGAUUUUUUGAAACCAUCUAUAGAAUAGACUGGAGAACAGCGAACAGAAGAGUUGAUUGGAAUUCCCCCACUAAUGGUUAUUUUGAAAUGAUUUGUCUCUGCAUUCCUGAAAUAUGACGUACCAGUCACCAGCCAAAUGAAUGCAAAGCUGCACGAUGGUUCGGGAACUCAUGAUGGAGUUGAUGGAGAAAUGUUUGUGGAGGUGCUGACACAGCCAAGUCCUGGUGUUUUCACAGUCACCCUGGACAAUGAUCCUGUAUCUUCCCAGAUGACUUCCUCCUUUGCCCGUUCCUUGUUGGAGAUCUCGGCCAUUGAGUCGGAUGAUACUGUCAUUCUGAGCGAUGAUUGGAGCCUUUCAAGAAAACGACAGAGAGCUGAGGAUGAAGCUAAACUGAGUGUAAUGUAAUAAGCAUCUGUUUAGAAUCAUUAAUUGCUAACCUCUCUUUCUCUUAACUAAAUGUUCCGUAUAUCAGUUUACCCCCCUGAUAGUUGGGAGCUGUAAUCCAGUGCACACCUUUUUAUCUGCAGUGUCCGAUGAGAGCGGGUAAGGAUGGUUUUGGAUUGUUCUUGAUCAUUUUCCUUUCAUAGUUAAUAAAUAACAUACUGAAGAAAAUCUGGUGGCGAUCUUGUCAUCAAUACUCUUGAACCAAAGGGCUGACUGAUGACACCUGAGGAAAGAUGAUACAUUUUCUCACAGCAGAGAUGACCGAGACUCACGUUUAAGCACUAAACCAGGCACGCAAGAAAGCUGUCUGUAUCUAAGAUGUAUUUCAGAUGAACGUUGCUAUUAUAGUGACCGGAAUCAACAGGGGGCUUCAUUGCAAAUGGAUGAAUAAAGUACUCUUGUUGUCAGGACAUCAGCACCACGCCAUGAGGGAGACAUAUGCUCAAGGAAUUGUCGACUUGUUCCCUUACCUCAAGGACUCCUACAAAACUAAAGGAUAUGAACAUUAUUUUCACCCUCAAACUGGAAAUGGUUACUUGUCCUCCGAACCAUCCAGAGGAAUUCAGCUUCACCUGAGAAAUGACCACCUAGCCAGUCAUUCAGUGGUGGGCCAAUAGCUGAGAUAGAGACUCCAUCCCAUCCAGAGAUUACCCUGAUUUGGUGAAAAGUGUAGGGAAGUCAUUUCCCUGAUGAAGCGUUCUUCUGAUGAGGUCACCAACAAGCAGAAGAUGAAGAUGACAUUUGAAUACAGACGGAAGAUGACUCAUGACCCAAGUAAAUGCUGCGAGUUGCUGACUGGAUUUCCACAAUUCAUGGAUAUGAAGUGCCUGGAUGGACAGUGACCUCUCCUCCAUCCUCCUCCAGCUCCUUUUGAUUCCCCCUUCAUCACAAGGCCACAAAAGACGAGGCAAGGCAGGAACCAGUACCCAGAAACACAUUGAUGCUAUUGCCCAAAGCAGUUAACCGUACCUCCUUGCUGUCAGGACCAAGAGGAGCAGCAUCCAUAGUUACUUGAUCAUCCUGGACAAGCAAGCUCUGCCAUGAAACUCUACAAGCUCUUUUUUAAAAAACUUUAGUUUAUUUGUUAAAUAUUUUCUUUACUCUUCUUGAACUGCGCUGUUGGUUAAGGGCUUGUAAGUAAGCAUUUCACGGUAAUGUCUACAGUUGUUGUAUUUGGCGCAUGUGAGUAAUAAAGUUUGAUUGAUGAGCUA